AUUGAAUUUGCAUUAAACACCAGCCUCCAAGGCCAAGUCCAAGACAGAUUUUGGGCAAUUAUUAUGGAUUCCUGACAAUAAGGUGCUGCCAAAAAUUGUUUGAGGAGGGGACAGACACAGUUAACACAUUACUUUAUGAAGUAUUUACAGAGAUACUGAGAUCCUUCAGGAAAAGAAGAGGGAAAUGUUUCUUUACCACCAGGUUGAAAUCAUUUCAAGGUUGCCCCAUAAGAGACACAGGGAAAGAUGGCAUCUGGCAGAGACUGGGAAUAUCCAAGAAGGGAGCCCGACACUCAUGUGGCCAGGUCUGCUGUGAGACCAAGCCUAUGUGAGUUGGCUAGAAAUGAAUACCACUUGGUGGAGAGCUGUCAUCCCAAACCGAGACUAUCCAGGGCGGCCAGCACCCACUUCACCUGCCAGCUAACUUCAGAUACACGAGUGAGCUGA
rnacentral:lncRNA from 1 species